rnacentral:rRNA from 1 species
CACGUAGGGUGCGAGCGUUGUCCGGAAUUAUUGGGCGUAAAGAGCUCGUAGGCGGUGUGUCGCGUCGGCCGUGAAAACCUGCAGCUUAACUGUGGGCUUGCGGUCGAUACGGGCAUCACUGGAGUUCGGCAGGGGAGACUGGAAUUCCUGGUGUAGCGGUGAAAUGCGCAGAUAUCAGGAAGAACACCCCGUGGCGAAGGCGGUCUCUGGGACGGACGACGCUGAGACGCGAAAGCGUGGGGAGCGAACAGG